AACGAACGCUGGCGGCAUGCCUAACACAUGCAAGUCGAACGAGACCUUCGGGUCUAGUGGCGCACGGGUGCGUAACGCGUGGGAAUCUGCCCUUGGGUUCGGAAUAACAGUUGGAAACGACUGCUAAUACCGGAUGAUGACGUAAGUCCAAAGAUUUAUCGCCCAGGGAUGAGCCCGCGUAGGAUUAGCUAGUUGGUGGGGUAAAGGCCUACCAAGGCGACGAUCCUUAGCUGGUCUGAGAGGAUGAUCAGCCACACUGGGACUGAGACACGGCCCAGACUCCUACGGGAGGAAGCAGUGGGGAAUAUUGGACAAUGGGCGAAAGCCUGAUCCAGCAAUGCCGCGUGAGUGAUGAAGGCCUUAGGGUUGUAAAGCUCUUUUACCCGGGAUGAUAAUGACAGUACCGGGAGAAUAAGCCCCGGCUAACUCCGUG
rnacentral:rRNA from 1 species